GGCCGAAUUGGGGGUAUCUGUUGAAUUACCAUCAUAACUUUGAAAGUUUAUGGAUCUGAUUCAUGAAACUUGGACAUAAUAGUAAUCAAGUAUUACUGAACAUCCUGUGCAAGUUUCAGGUCACAUGAUCAAGGUCAAAGGUCAUUUAGGGUCAAUGAACUUUGGCCAAAUUGGGGUAUUUGUUGAAUUACAGCCAUAAAUUUGAAAGUGUGUUGGUCUAGUUCAUAAAACUUGGACAUAAUAGUAAUCAAGUAUCACUGAACAUCCUGUGCAAGUUUCAGGUCACAUGAUCAAGGUCAAAGGUCAUGUAAGGUCAAAGAACUUUGGCCAUGUUGGGGGUAUUUGUUGAAUUGCCAUCAUAUCUCUAUAAGUGUAUUGGUCUAGUUCAUAAAACGUGGAAAUAAGAGUAACCAAGUAUCACUGAACAUCUUGUGCGAGUUAUAGUAGUUUUCAAAAUCAGCACUGCUGCUAUAUUGAAUUGCGUGAUGCAGGUGAGACGGCCAGAGGCAUUCCACUUGUUAAUAAAAUGCGCAAACCCCAUUGGAAACACGUACUGUAGCAGAGCGAUACAACGUUUUGACUGACCGCGCGCAUUGAAAUCGCGGUCAGGGUUGUUGUAUCCCCUAUGUAGCGUUUUUGUACAGGGGAAAUCUAAACCGCUCAAACCGAAAUUAUAAGCAUAGAGCUCUUUUGCGAUAUUUUCUCUGAUCCUUGGUUUUGUGUAAAAAUAAGGAUACCAAUGUCAAGCAAUCGUCUUAGUCUUUCCAACCAUACAUUUUUCUAGCAAUGAAUAUGUUGUAAGGCUGGAGAACUAAGUGUGACAUUUAUAGUAAACUUUGAAGUCGAUUUUCUCUGAAAUGGGUUUGCACCGUCGUAUGUGGAUACGAUGGUUCGGAUGACCGCCGACAACAUGUGUAGGCCUUCACAAUUCUAAAUUUUACAGUGUACAUGGGCAGGUUUGGUUUAUCAGUCGGCCCUGUGAUCAAGAAGGAAGCUUUAUGUUUUGAGAAUUCCCUAGUAAUUGACCUUUUUUUAAUCAUUUAUGACAGAGUGUGUUGCUUUUGCUAAGCAACUUUUCAACAUGAAGUUUGACGAUCAGAGUGAAGGAUCAGUGUCCAGGAUGAUGUCAUGGAUUUUACUGCUGCUCCACUAUUCCAACACAGAUAGGGCAAUAGAAGGUUUGGAACCCCUACAGAUGGUUGCCUUACAAAGAAGAACAGCAGAAGAAGGAUCCGACGGAUAAGGCGAAACAAAAGGGACUCUCCACAGGAUGAAUACUUCAAAGCACUCAUCAAAGAGUUCUGCAACUGGGUUUCAGGGUUUGGGCUGGAACAACAAUUGUGUAGGAAGAGUCAACAAUUCACAGUAUCUAUUCUAGUGGUUAUCAGGCAAAGCCCGCCCUCUCUGUGCUGAUCCAUGUCAUCGAACGGACAAACGUUCCCGCAGAGCUAAGGGUGCCGGAAUAGGCUCUAUUACAGACUUCGGAACAGAUGGAGAAGAAGCAGAAAUAGUUGAAAUGCAGUACGGUUCAGGGAAUUAAACUCCUCAGCUGGGUCAAGAUGAUUUACAGGGCCUGACACCUCAAACCAAAGACACGGAAAAGACAACUGGCAUCAGAGCAAGCACAGAGUGCUAUCCACGAGAGCACAUCCCUGGAAUCAAGGGUUUAUCUGGCAGAAGUGGUCCAACUGAAAGCAGAGAAUAUGGAGCUUGAUUAAGAAGAAUUUGUUGUCAUGCUGAGGGAUGAACUCGACAAACUCGGGUCAAUGGUCAAAUAAAUACCCAGCAAUAGGCCACCAGAACCAGUGAAGGUAUAGAGUGCUAUUCAAGAGAGCAGAGCACUGGAAUGAAGGGUUCUACUAGCAGAAAAGGCUGCUGUAUAUGGAGGUAGAUUAGGAAAAGUUGGUGUCAUGCAGGAAGAUGAAGUCAACAAACGCGGGUCAAUGAUCAAGAGAAUACCCAGCAAUAUGCCACCAGAACUAGUGUCGUGUCACUCAAUGUGCAUCAUGGAUACACCCCCUAUCUGAUGUGAACCAUUUACCAAGCAUAAAUGAUAGAGAUAGUCUAUCAGAGACAAGGACGUGGCACCAAUCUUAAAAUGAUCUUCUGUUUUUUUUUAAGUGAUCGGGUAGAUCAAAUUUAUCAAACCUGUUAUCAGUUUAAACUUUUAUAUCAAUUAAUCCAAAACUUUUUUGUUAUCAAAUGUGACUUUUACAUUCAUUUUCCCUCAUGAACCCAUUUUAAUGUGUUUUAUGGUGACUUUUACAUAGCUCCAAUCAGCAGGUCCAAGCUAUUAUCUCUUUGCUGAUGUUUGAUUGUAUCUGAAUUGUCUGUUGUGUCAUUAUUGCAUGCAUACUAUGUAGGUGUUGUGAGGCUUAGAAUUAACCCUAACAAGAGGGUGGGGGUUCCCUUGAAAUCUUAGUCAUCGACUGCCAUUGCACCGAUAGCUGGCAUGCACAUUGCCUUGGACCUAAUCUACAAAAUCAUUGGUAUAUACUUCAUGAAAAUUGCUAUAAAUUGAUUUUGCUAAUAUAUUUGUAAUAAGUAUGCAAAAUCAUGCUUUUUGCUUCCAAAAUAAAGCUCCAAAUGUCCUAAUUUUUGGUGCAGAAAGUAUUUGUGGUGGUCUUGUCAAAUGUUCUUGGAAAAACUGCAAUAUCAGGCCAAAUUCUUAUGUAUUAUUUUGUUUUUACGAUUUCCUAUGUAUUUAUUUCUUUUCGACUUCUUGCAUUUCAUUUAAUAGUUUUUUCAUGAAAUUCUCUAGUGAUACUUAAAAGAUUGCAAACAGCAUAAAAUAUAGUAAUGACAACAAAUAUAUUCAGUUAUUCAUAUGUGGUUGAAAGCACAAUUUGUAUUGAAAUUGCAUACAAAAUCAUGUUUUUGAGCAAAUUUUAGUCUUUAAAGAUGCGGGAGAAGUUUUGUUUUGAAAACAUUAUGCGAAACAUUGAUGGGUGCCCUCUAAUGUUCCAAUGUCUGUUUAAAAUCCAUUUUUUUUCUAAAUGUGUCCUCCCCCCAAAAAAAAAAAAAAUCUAACAAAUAGGUGAUCAACAGAACAAGUAAUCAAAGAUUAACCCUUCAUAGAAAAAAUAAGUGGGUGACAUUAUGCCUCUCACAACUAAAAAAAAAUAUAAUUUCACUUCUUUAAAACUCAGAAAAAUUAGGAAAAACAAACAAUUUUUUUAGUCAAAUGAGACAGCUUGGUACACCCCUAGUUGUAAAAUAAUCUAUAUUGAAAUAAUUUGUUCUCUCUAUAACUGAAGAGAUCAAAUCUUGUCUUUCGAUCUGUGUUUUCCUUCAACAAGAAACUUACCCACAUUGUGCCACACUCAACCCAGGUUAAGACAAAAAUCCAUGGUACUAGUAGAUAGGUCAGAUGGUGUUACUGUGUUAGAAAGUGCUUUCAUAUUAUUGGAUAUUUUACCUUUUUUAUAAGUAUAUCAAACUAGCAAUACAAUUCUGGGAAGUGUU